GACAGAGGGUGCAAACGUUGUUCGGAAUCACUGGGCAUAAAGCGCACGUAGGCGGUCCGUUAAGUCAGAUGUGAAAGCCCCCGGCUCAACCGGGGAACGGCAUCUGAUACUGGCGGGCUCGAGGAUGGCAGGGGUGAGCGGAACUCCAGGUGGAGCGGUGAAAUGCGUAGAUAUCUGGAGGAACACCGGUGGCGAAAGCGGCUCACUGGACCAUAACUGACGCUGAGGUGCGAAAGCGUGGGGAGCAAACAGG
rnacentral:rRNA from 1 species